rnacentral:rRNA from 1 species
CCCCUUUUCCUUUUAUCCAUUCCCUCCAAAGAGUCGAGUUGUUUGGGAAUGCAGCUCUAAGUGGGUGGUAAAUUCCAUCUAAAGCUAAAUAUUGGCGAGAGACCGAUAGCGAACAAGUACAGUGAUGGAAAGAUGAAAAGCACUUUGAAAAGAGAGUGAAAAAGUACGUGAAAUUGUUGAAAGGGAAGGGCUUGCAAGCAGACACAACCUCGGUUGGGCCAGCAUCGGAGUGGGGGGAGACAAAAAAGAAAAGGAAUGUAACUCAUUCGAGUAUUAUAGCCUUUUUCUCAUAUCUCCACCCCCUUCCGAGGCCUGCG